GGUUCGAUCAUGGCCUGUGGGGAUUGAACGCUGGCGGGAUGCUUGGCUACAUGUCGAACGGCAGCACGGACUUCGGUCUGGUGGCGAGGGCGAACGGGUGAGUAAUUUAUCGGAACGUGCCUAGUAGCGGGGAUAAUUACGCGAAAGGUAGCUGAUAUCGCGGCUACUGGGAAAGCGGGGACCUUCGCCUGCACUAUUAGAGCGGCCGAUAUCGGAUUAGCUGGUUGUGGUAACGGCUCACCAAGGCGACGAUCCGUAGCUGGUUUGAGAGGACGACUUCCAGCCACUGACUGAGAUUAAUGGCCCAGACUCCUACGGGAGGCAGCAGUGGGGAAUUCUUGGACAAUGGGGAAAACCCUGAUUCAGCCAUCCGCGCGGCGAUGAAGGCCUUUCGGGUUGUAAAGCACUUUUGGCAGGAAAGAAACGGCACGGGAUAAUACCCGUGCAACUGACGGUACCUGCAGAAUAAGGCACCGCUAAUCAUGUGCCAGCAGCCGCGGUAAUACGUAGGGUGAAGUGUUAAUCGGAAUUACUGGGCGUAAAAAGCGCGCAGGCGCUCAAAAGAUGUGAAAUCCCAGAGCUUAACUUUUGGAACUGCAUUUUUAAUUCACUGAGCCAGGAGGUGCCGAGGGAGGGAAUUCCGCGUGUGGGCAGGAAAUGCGCAGAUAUGGAACACCGAUGGCGAAGGCAGCCUCCUGGGAUAACACCGACGCUCAUGCACGAAAGCGUGGGGAGCAAACAGGAUUAGAUACCCUGUAGUCCACGCCCUAAACGAUGUCAACUAGCUGUUGGGGCCUUUCGCCUUGGUAUAGCUAAUAUGCGUGAAGUUGACCGCCUGGGGAGUACGGUCGCAAGAUUAAAACUCAAAGGAAUUGACGGGGAUUCCGCCAAGCGGUGGAUGAUGUGGAUUAAUUCGAUGCAACGCGAAAAACCUUACCUACCCUUGAUAUGUCUAAACCCUGAAGAGAUUUGGAGUGCUCGCAAGAGAACCGGAACAUGGUGCUGCAUGGCUGUCGUCAGCUCGUGUCGUGAGAGCGGGUUAAGUCCCGCAACGAGCGCAACCCUUAUCAUUAAGCGAUGAAAGGGCACUCUAUCGAGACUGCCGGUGACAAACCGGAGGGAAGGUGGGGAUGAUGUCGCGUCCUCAUGGCUCUUAUGGGUAGGGCUUCACACGUCAUACAAUGGUCGGGACAGAGGGUCGCCAACCCGCGAGGGAGCCAAUCCCAGAAACCCGAUCGUAGUCCGAUCGGUCUGCAACUGACUGCGUGAAGUCGGAAUCGCCAGCAAUCGCGGAUCAGCAUGUCGCGGUGAAUACGUUCCCGGGUCUUGUACACACUGCCCGUCACACCAUGGGAGUGGCUUUACCAGAAGUAGUUAGCCUAACCGGGAGGAGGGCGAUUACCACGGCAGGAUUCAUGACUGGGGUGAAGUCGUAACAAGGUAG
rnacentral:rRNA from 1 species